CCGGCGCACGGGUGCGCACCGCGUAUGGAACCUACCUUUUACAGGGGAAUAGCCCAGGGAAACUUGGAUUAAUGCCCCGUGGUACUAUUAUGUGGCAUCACAUUAUAGUUAAAGCCUUCGGGCGGUAGAAGAUGGCCAUGCGUCCCAUUAGUUUGUUGGUAAGGUAACGGCUUACCAAGACUACGAUGGGUAGGGGCCCUGAGAGGGGGAUCCCCCACACUGGUACUGAGACACGGACCAGACUCCUACGGGAGGCAGCAGUGAGGAAUAUUGGACAAUGGAGGAGACUCUGAUCCAGCCAUGCCGCGUGCAGGAAGAAUGCCCUAUGGGUAGUAAACUGCUUUUAUACAGGAAGAAAAAGGGGCACGUGUGCCCUACUGACGGUACUGUAAGAAUAAGGACCGGCUAACUCCGUGCCAGCAGCCGCGGUAAUACGGAGGGUCCGAGCGUUAUCCGGAAUUAUUGGGUUUAAAGGGUCCGUAGGCGGGCGAUUAAGUCAGUGGUGAAAGUCUGUAGCUCAACUAUAGAAUUGCCUUUGAUACUGAUUGUCUUGAGUUAUAGUGAAGUUGCCGGAAUAUGUAGUGUAGCGGUGAAAU
rnacentral:rRNA from 1 species